rnacentral:lncRNA from 1 species
CUGGAGGUGGCUUGAUUUCGUGCAGAAGAUGGUAGCUGCUGGAGGUGGUGUUGUCGCUAGACGGAACUAAUGAUGUAGGUUGUGUCAUUGCUGGCUGGAGUUGAUCGGGCAAUCCUCAAUAUUAUGUACAAUGUUCUACAAACACAAUAGUGGUAAAUGGAAGUAAAAGUAAGUGGCUUGCCGAAUUGAGCUUAAACCUGUUAGUUGGGCAUAUUUUGGCAACGCAAAUAUAAACUUAUAUAUGUGCUAUUAAUUAGAGCAAAGGGGAUUCAUGAAAAGGACGGGUGCAUAUGAACCUCUAGGUGUGCUACAGAGUAUUAUUAUCAAUUAAAGAACAUACCAGUUCUUGGAAAAAAGAGGCAUGCAUGCAAAGGUUUUAGAGGAUCGAUCUAAUACCUGACUCGGCUUGGGUUCCCGUUGCAUAGCGCAAUGGCAAUUCCGAUGAAGAUGGUGCCCGCGCUAGGACAUCCCAGUUCUUUUUUACUGACCCGUCAGGUCUAACACUUCUGGCUGCUUGUCAGGUCCAACAUCCGCGUCAAGCAGCCGCGCGUCGUUGCGAUGGGAGAAGUCGGUUUUCAGUCCAUCAUGAAGUACGUAUGCGUCCAGGUCGGCGCUUUGUGGGCAGACCUUUAAAAUUCAGGACAUCUUGGAGGAGAACGGCAGGGUUCUUUCCAGGAAGCUUGGGUGUGUCGGCGUAGCAGGAGUACCUGAGUGAAUCUUGAAGGAGAUCUUUCUUUUUGGUAAACUAUCUGUGCCGAAGAUAGCUCCCUAUGUAUUUGAUACAAUGGAUGUAAAUCUUUUACUAUGUAGAUGUCCAUCGGUACUCUAAUCUAUUAGUAAUGAAACAAUAGUUUCUUA